UUCGCAAUGCCCGAAAGGGUGACGAAGCGACGCCGCGUGUGGGAAGAAGGCCUUCGGGUUGUAAACCACUGUCAGGAGUUAAGAAAUGUAAGGGUGCUAAUAGUAUCCUUACUUGACUAAGGCUCCAGAGGAAGCCACGGCUAACUCUGUGCCAGCAGCCGCGGUAAUACAGAGGUGGCAAGCGUUGUUCGGAAUUAUUGGGCGUAAAGAGCACGUAGGCGGUUCUGCAAGUCGGCUGUGAAAGCCUUCCGCUCAACGGAAGAACAGCAGUUGAUACUACAGGACUAGAGUGCGGGAGGGGAGAGUGGAACUUCUGGUGGAGCGGUGAAAUGCGUAGAUAUCAGAAGGAACGCCGGCGGCGAAAGCGACUCUCUGGCCCGUAACUGACGCUGAGUGUGCGAAAGCUAGGGGAGCAAACGGGAUUAGAUACCCCGGUAGUCCUAGCCGUAAACGAUGGGCACUAAGUAGAGGGGUUUU
rnacentral:rRNA from 1 species